rnacentral:tRNA from 3 species
GGGCGUUUAGCUCAGCUUGGACAGAGCACUUGGCUUCGGACCAAGACGCCGCGGGUUCAAAUCCUGCAACGCCCAC